CCCACCUGGACAAAAGGAACACCUAUGUGAGAAUGCUAUUCAUUGAUUACAGCUCAGCGUUCAACACCAUAGUACCCUCAAAGCUCAUUACUAAGCUAAGGAACCUGGGACUAAACACCUCCCUCUGCAACUGGAUCCUGGACUUCCUGACCGGCCGCCCCCAGGUGGUGAGGGUAGGUAGCAACAUAUCUGCCACGCUGAUCCACAACACUGGAGCUCCCCAGGGAUGCAUGCUCAGUCCCCUCCUGUACUCCCUGUUCACCCACGACUGCAUGGCCAGGCACGACUCCAACACCAUCAUUAAGUUUGCAGACGACACAACAGUGGUAGGCCUGAUCACCGACAACGACGAGACAGCCUAUAGGGAGGAAGUCAGAGACCUGGCCGGGUGGUGCCAGAAUAACAACCUAUCCCUCAACGUAACCAAGACUAAGGAGAUUAUUGUGGACUACAGGAAAAGGAGCACCGAGCACGCCCCCAUUCUCAUCGAUGGGGCUGUAGUGGAGCAGGUUGAGAGCUUCAAGUUCCUUGGUGUCCACAUCAACAACAAACUAGAAUGGUCCAAACACACCAAGACAGUUGUGAAGAGGGCACGACAAAGCCUAUUCCCCCUCAGGAAACUAAAAAGAUUUGGCAUGGGUCCUGAGAUCGUCAAAAGGUUCUACAGCUGCAACAUCGAGAGCAUCCUGACUGGUUGCAUCACUGCCUGGUACGGCAAUUGCUCGGCCUCUGACCGCAAGGCACUUCAGAGGGUAGUGCGUAUGGCUGCCUGCCAUCCAGGACCUCUACACCAGGUGGUGUCAGAGGAAGGCCCUAAAAAUUGUCAAAGACCCCAGCCACCCCAGUCAUAGACUGUUCUCUCUACUACUGCAUGGCAAGCGGUACCGGAGUGCCAAGUCUAGGACAAAAAGGCUUCUCAACAGUUUUUACUCCCAAGCCAUAAGACUCCUGAACAGGUUGACUCCUGAAUGGUUUGCAUUGUGUGCCCCCCCCCCCAACCCCUCUUUUACGCUGCUGCUACUUUCUGUUUAUCAUAUAUACAUAGUCACUUUAACUAUACAUUCAUGUACAUACU
rnacentral:lncRNA from 8 species